rnacentral:rRNA from 1 species
UACGUAGGUGGCAAGCGUUGUCCGGAUUUACUGGGUGUAAAGGGCGCGUAGGCGGGAUGGCAAGUCAGAUGUGAAAUCCAUGGGCUCAACCCAUGAACUGCAUUUGAAACUGUCGUUCUUGAGUAUCGGAGAGGCAAGCGGAAUUCCUAGUGUAGCGGUGAAAUGCGUAGAUAUUAGGAGGAACACCAGUGGCGAAGGCGGCUUGCUGGACGACAACUGACGCUGAGGCGCGAAAGCGUGGGUAGCAAACAGG